rnacentral:rRNA from 1 species
AAAACCCCGAACGGUGGAUCACUUGGCUCGUGGAUCGAUGAAGACCGCAGCUAACUGCGCGUCGUCGUGUAAUCCGCAGGUUAUGCGAACAUCGACAAGUCGAACGCACAUUGCGGCCCUUGUGACCCAAGAGUCCUGG